CCCUGUACGUGAGCCCAGCAGCUGCGUUCUGUGAUGCAUGUAGAGACAAAAACACACUCAAAACCCUCGCGGUGACGACUUCCUAAUGGCAUUAUUGCUGUUAAGAUUUUAAACCAAGGGUGGCGCCUGUGGCUCAGAUUUCUAGACUAAGUGUAAUCUCCCAGCUGGCACAGAAAGAAGAGCCAUGGGUCCUACCACUGCAACACUUUGAGACAAGGAAGACCCCAGUGGGAAGUCACUCAGGUGGAAAAACUCAAUCAGAACAUUUCUGAAACAGGACAAUGUGGAAUGUCCUCAGGAAGGACCAAUAAAAAUACUGGUCACACUCCUAGUUUGAGAGGAAGCUGGGAGAGGGGCCUUGAAUUAGAAGGGCAACAGGAAGCCCUUCCAGGAGAGGUUCAGCAAGAGCCCUUUUCAUAGGAGAUGGAUUUAAACAAGCUCCUGGAUGGAUAUGUAAGAAAUAAGCCUGUGUGUACAGAAUGUGGGAAAAGCUUUAACCAGAGUUCCUAUCUUAUAAGACACCUAAGAAUCCAUACAGGUGAGAGGCCUUAUAAAUGCGUCCAGUGUGGGAAAGGCUUCAAACAGAGUUCAGACCUUAUCACUCACCAUAGAACACACACAGGAGAGAAGCCGUACCAAUGCAAUGGGUGUGAGAAAAAGUUUGGUGACAGCUCAACACUUAUUAAACAUCAGAGAAUCCACACAGGUGAAAAACCCUAUGAGUGCCCAGAGUGUGGAAAGACUUUUGGGAGGAAGCCACACCUCAUAAUGCACCGAAGAACCCACACAGGAGAGAAGCCCUACACGUCUCAACUGUCAUAAAAGCUUUAGUCGAAGUUCAAAUUUCAUCACUCACCAGAGGACCCACACCGGGGUGAAACCUUACAGGUGUAAUGACUGUGGAGAGAGUUUUAGUCAGAGCUCAGAUCUGAUUAAGCACCAACGAACACAACACGGGAGAACGGCCCUUUCAAUGCCCAGAGUGCGGGAAGGGCUUCUGAGAUAGUUCUCAUUUUGUGGCUCACAUGAGUACUCACUCAGGAGAGAGGCCUUUCAGUUGUCCCAACUGCCAUAAAAGUUUCAGUCAGAGCUCACAUCUGGUAACACACCAGAGAACACACACAGGAAGUGUGACAUCUGCGGAAAAGGGUUUGCUGACAGUUCUGCUCUCAUUAAGCACCAACAUAUCCACACUGGAGAAAGACCCUACAAAUGUGGGGAGUGUGGGAAGAGCUUCAAUCAGAGCUCUCACUUCAUCACCCAUCAACGGAUCCACUUAGGAGACAGACCCUACCGAUGUCCAGAGUGUGGCAAGACCUUUAAUCAGCGUUCCCAUUUUCUCACACACCAGAGAACACAUACAGGAGAAAAACCUUUUCACUGUAGUAAAUGUGACAAGAGCUUCCAUCA